AACACUGUUUGGCAGUCAUUGAACGCAUCACAGUGCCGUGAGCAAAGGCCUAGUCCAACUGCAGAAUUUCUUCUUUUCCUCCCGUCGAUCUGGUGAGAUGCAUGCUGUUCUGGUGCCCUCUGCGAUCUGGAAACCUGGAGAGAGAAAUCAUGAAGCGGUACGGGCUGAGCCGAGUCCGACAAGCAUCCGCCAUUACACCAACUCCUCUGCAUCCGGGUGUGUGUAGGCUGGUUUUUCCUUUGGUAUCCUGUUCCUACUGGAUGAUGUUCCUCAUCUGAUGACUCCAC